CCCUUAGAUGUUCUGGGCUGCACGCGCGCUACACUGAAGCGUUCAACGAGUAUUCACCUUGCCCGGGAGGGUUGGGUAAUCUUUUCAAAACGCUUCGUGAUGGGGAUAGAUUAUUGCAAUUAUUAAUCUUCAACGAGGAAUUCCUAGUAAGCGCGAGUCAUCAGCUCGUGCUGAUUACGUCCCUGCCCUUUGUACACACCGCCCGUCGCUCCUACCGAUUGAGUAAUCCGGUGAAUAAUUCGGACUGCAGCAGGCCUGGUCUCCGGGUUUUGCAGCGGAAAGUUUAGUGAACCUUAUCACUUAGAGGAAGGAGAAGUCGUAACA
rnacentral:rRNA from 1 species